GUUUGGCAAGUGAGGAAUCUCUUUCUAAUGGGUAAUUUGCGUCUGAAUUAUUCCAGUGAUGUUACCAUCGUCGAGAUCUGAUGCCUUUU
rnacentral:snoRNA from 1 species